UUAUUAUAAAAUACUCAAAAAAUGUGGAACGCUUCACGAUUUUGCGUGUCAUCCUUGCGCAGGGGCCAUGCUAAUCUUCUCUGUAUCGUUCCAAUUUUAGUAUAUGUACUGCCGAAGCGA
rnacentral:snRNA from 1 species